rnacentral:misc_RNA from 1 species
GUAGGUGAACCUGCGGAAGGAUCAUUAAUUUAUCCACAACCUAAAAUACUUGCGAGAACUGUAACGCUAUCGUGCGCGUUGUUCGAAAACGACGAUGGGGAUUCGCUAUGAGUGUCGGUGGCGCAAGCUAUAGACAUUUUUAUCCUUAUAAGACGUUCCUUUCACUAGGAUAGAACAACGAUUACGACUAAGUCAUGGGGUCAUAGACCGAAUAUAACGAAUUCGAUCUUACCUUGUGCAAACCUUAACCUAUUUCACCAAUUUUGCUAGUUGACUUGAUUAUGUAGUGCUUCGACCUGCUUAAUUGCUAGCGGCGCCUACACGUUUAUUUAUUUGAACGUUAAACAUACAACUCUUAGCAAUGGAUAUCUUGGUUCUC